UACGUAGGGUGCAAGCGUUGUCCGGAAUUAUUGGGCGUAAAGAGCUCGUAGGCGGUCUGUCGCGUCGGCUGUGAAAUCCCGAGGCUCAACCUCGGGUCUGCAGUCGAUACGGGCAAACUAGAGUAUUGCAGGGAGACUGGAAUUCCUGGUGUAGCGGUGAAUGCGCAGAUAUCAGGAGGAACACCUAUUGCGAAGGCAGCUCGCUGGACGUUACUGACGCUGAGACGCGAAAGCGUGGGAGCAAACAGG
rnacentral:rRNA from 1 species